CUUUUCCUAACAACUGUGGCCUGUAAGACUGUGAUGACUGUCAGCCACAUUUUAUUAAUUCAGGAGGGUGCUGAGUCACAGGAAGCCGUGGUGUAACACCACAUAUUCUGUCUUCAUCUGUUCAGAUUGCUGUAACAAAAUACCAUAGACUGGAUGUUUUAUAAAUAACCAACAUUUCUCACAGUGCUGGAGCCUGAGAAGUCCAAGAUCAAGAUGCCAGAAGAUUCAGGGUCUGUGAGAGCCUGGUUCCUGGUACCUAGAGGGACAUCUUGUAGCUGUAUACUUACGUGAUGAAAGGGAGACAUGGCGCUGAAGGUCCAGGAUAGAGAAGAUAAUUGAUGGAGGAAAUCAUAAAAGAAGGCACUUGACUCAGUGCAUCAAUGGGAAAGGAAAGACCACUCUACUCUCUAAGACUAAAAGGAAGGAGAUGAAUUGUGGGCAUUCGACUUGUCACUCUUAUGAAAUGCCAGGCCUGCUCAGAGAUUGACUGACACAGUACGGUUGGCAUCUCACUGGAAGGCCCAUGCCAGAAAACAUGUGGAAGACAUGAAACCUGACAACUUAAAAAAGUUGACGUCAUUACUCCAAUAUAAGAUGGAUGUAGCUGAUGCUGCUACCCUUCCUUCACUUCUUCCUGCCUUGAAUCUGGCUGUGAUGCCUGGGGUUUCAGCAGCCGUCUUAUGACCAUGAGAUGAUGAGUGUGAGGAUGAAAAACAGCCCACUGACCCUGGACAGAAGAAAAACAAUAAAUCUGGGUCUCCAAUGACAACAAUGGAUGGCAAACAGUAUGGCACCGAACAAGCAUUCAGCUACCUCAAGAAAGGAAAGAAAGAAUGAAAGAAGGAAGGAUCAAAGUUCAUGAGAACAGAAAUCUCAAAUUUGAAGUUAAACUUGGGUUGUCCUGUGACUUUGUUUUCUAUCUUGUGGUAGUGAUAUUUUCCCUGCCAGCCUUAGAUAAUGAGAACCACUUGAAGAGUGUUCUGAGCUGGAAGGUGACAUCAUGCAAACUGUUUUUAGGAAGAUUAAUUUGGUACCAGUUCACCAGAUGGACUGGGAAGAGGCAAACCCAGAACAAGGUGGUCCAGCCAGAAAAGCAUGGAGAACUGAGAAAAAAAAAAAAAAUGAUGUGGAGAGAGAGAAGGGAAGAAGGGAGGAUUUUAAAGGCCAUCCCAGGAAA